rnacentral:lncRNA from 1 species
AUGUUAUCGAAGGUCCCAAACCUUUUAAAAAUAUGUAGUAAAGGUCCAAUUGAAUGGAAACGUCUGUACUAUUGUUAGUUAACCUGAAAAAUAAAAAUUUGACCACUCUUUACCAAAUUGAAAAGGAUAAAAUGGUGUAUUUACAUUUUUCCAAAUAUCGUUAACAAUUAGAGCAACUAAACUAAAAGCCAAAAACUGGAAAAAAAAAAUGAAAAGAAAAGAAAUCUGCCCUAUCUAACCACACCCACACAUACAUCCACCUGUCUUCAUCAUCUUCUUUUUCUCCUUGUCGGCGACGGCCACAACGCCACCACCCUCUUCUCUUUCCAAAGCCUACUGCAUCUUCUCUUCCACCUAUACUUGCCUAUCUACAUUUGCAGUUGUAGAAAAACAAAUUUGGAGUGAUAUUUUUCCAAUUCUUUGCCAAAUCCAGUUUUGCAGGAACUUGAAAAUCAAAUCUAGAGUGAAAUCUGAGUUUUGCUGAUCCUACAAACUUUAUUUUUUUUUUCGAGACCCUUCAAAAAACUACAAUAUCGGGUACCCAUUUUUGCCGGUGCAAAUGAGGGAUCUAGAGUAAUUUUGCGUCUACAGUGAAAGACAGAAAACUCUUGAAAAGUUUUGUGAGUGCGGGGGAAAAUCUAGGUUCCAUUGGGUCUUUGUCGCUCAUCGAAGCUCUGGAACAGGGUACGACGAAGGUGGUGGAGACUGCUAACAAUAACCUCUAUGUGGACCCCCUUGUUAAGGUUGGGAGGGAACUUGCGUUUGCGGUUGGGCUGGUAGGAAGGUGAGUCGGGGAGUUCAAUGGUGGUUUUUUUGGGGCGUGAGCGGAGGACACGGAGGUAAGAGGCGGAUGUUGAUAUCAUAUCAGUGAAGAUUUUCCUACUAAUAGUGAGAAAAACCUGCGUAGCACGUUAAUUGGUGAAUGUUAAAUAUAAGUGGAUGGUGGUUAUUGAACGAACAUGCACGAGAUAUUGAGUAAAGUGAAUCCGCAAAGCUUCCCAUUCUAACACACAUUGCUGCCGCUGCUUGAGAAAAGCAACCAAAAGCUAAUAAUACCAAUCUCAAAUAUUCAACAAUCUCAGUUUCCACAACUUCGAAAAAAACGAGUAACUAACUAAUAAGACAUUAAGGAAAAGAAAAAAAAAAUCCAGUUUUUAUAUAUCCAUAUAGGAAAAAUGGGAUAAAUCAGUGUGAUAUUUAAAGCAUUUUCUAGUAGCCUUAAUUUUAAUCACUUUCAACUUGUUGCUAAAGUGUUAGUUAUAUAAACCACAAUGUAAUGUGUUGCUCUUCGUAGGCUGCAAUAUCACAAUUUUUUUAUGCUAGGCACACGAGAGGAGUGGCACUAAUAGACUGAGGAAAGAGCAAGAUCCAAUUUGUAAAUUUUAGAAUCUGAAAUGAGAAAAUUUCAUUAUCAAAUAAUUAGGGUAGAAAAUCACUAAUUGGAGAAAGAUUUUACAAACUUUGUGUUUAAUGUGUUUUAUUUAAUAAACAACGUAUGUAGUUGUUAAUAGUUAAUGCAAUAAAAUUUCAUGUCAUUUGCAAACUUAAUAGUGUUUGGGAAAAGGGUCCAGGUAACAGCAAAGAAACAACUGACUCCUAAAAUGUUACAUUCUUGGAAGUUUUCCAUUGCAUAUCUGUAUGAGAUUAUGCAGACCUUCCAAUUUAAGAAGCUC